GGAGGACGAGGAAAGAUGCAAAGCCUUGGUCUGACGCCAUUAAAAGGUGAGGGGUGGUGGUGUGAGAGACUGGGACUGGAACUUGGAGCUGUGCUAAGGAAGUUCUGGUUCUAGAUACAGUGCUAGGGGCUGGGACUGGAACCUGGUGUCUGGUUGAGGCUGUAGUGAUGCAGCAGCGGAGUUCUUGUCUGUGGAGGUGGAGGGUCCUACUCUGGUCCACACUACUCCUCCUCAGUCCCCUCAGAGCCACAGAAGAUGGCGUGUCUUCAGAGGACGGGAGUGGUGACCCUGGUUUAGACCAAACUGUGAGAGGAGAAAAUUGGAACCCAUGUCUGGAGGGCCAGGAUGUGUUUUCCACGGUCAAAGAGAACAGCAUGAUAGGAGAACUCAUCGCUGAGCUCAACACUGAGCUGACAGCCAAUGAUGUUGUCUGGAGCCUAACUGGGGAGGACGCUGAUUGGUUCUUCCUAGAAAGGCGGAGCAUCAGACUCAAUGCCCCAUUGGAUAGAGUUCUGGACCGGGAG
rnacentral:lncRNA from 1 species